UGGGGAAUAUUGCACAAUGGGCGCAAGCCUGAUGCAGCGACGCCGCGUGCGGGAUGGAGGCCUUCGGGUUGUAAACCGCUUUUGUUCAAGGGCAAGGCACGGCUCGGGCCGUGUUGAGUGGAUUGUUCGAAUAAGCACCAGCUAAACUACGUGCC
rnacentral:rRNA from 1 species